GAAGUAUUAAUAAAAUAAUUAUAUAACUUUGUCAAAGUUAAAUUAUAGGUGAGAAUCCUUUAUACUUCC
rnacentral:tRNA from 1 species